GUGUAAUACCACCAUUGAUUUUCCCCUUUUAGUCUUUGUUAAAUUUGCAAUAAAAUUGUGCAGAAUUUGUCUUUGUUUCAAAUAAAAAAAUACUUGACAUGAGUGAAGUUUUAUCCUGUCCAGUACUAUAGAAAACAUUUCACAUACAUUUCAUUGCAUAUAAGAAAAUUACCAUCACUUGAAGUUAACCAAUCAAAUUUCUGCCCUUAUUUAACCAGUGUACAAAAUUUAGUAACCAUGUAACCUCAAGUUUACAAAAU
rnacentral:lncRNA from 1 species